GCAGCGGCCUAUAAUAAUCGUCUCCUUUGAUAAGGACAGCUCAGGGGUACAUUCUUAGCUGACAAUAAUAGAGACACCCUCCACUUUAGUCGCUGAGAUAUUUAUUCAAAAAUUUAAAAUGUAACAUGACAAUUAUUAAUGAGUUGUCCAAAAUAGAAAUGACAUAACUAAUUUGAUGCAGCCGCGGUGGGGGAAAAGUUCUU
rnacentral:misc_RNA from 1 species